rnacentral:rRNA from 1 species
GUGGGGAAUAUUGGACAAUGGGCGCAAGCCUGAUCCAGCCAUGCCGCGUGAGUGAUGAAGGCCCUAGGGUUGUAAAGCUCUUUCACCGGUGAAGAUAAUGACGGUAACCGGAGAAGAAGCCCCGGCUAACUUCGUGCCAGCAGCCGCGGUAAUACGAAGGGGGCUAGCGUUGUUCGGAAUUACUGGGCGUAAAGCGCACGUAGGCGGAUUGGUCAGUUAGAGGUGAAAUCCCGAAGCUCAACUUCGGAACUGCCUUUAAUACUGCCAGUCUCGAGUCCGGAAGAGGUGAGUGGAACUCCUAGUGUAGAGGUGGAAUUCGUAGAUAUUAGGAAGAACACCAGUGGCGAAGGCGGCUCACUGGUCCGGUACUGACGCUGAGGUGCGAAAGCGUGGGGAGCAAACAGGAUUAGAAACCCCUGUAGUCC